UAUAGAGCGCUCAUCCGGGAGCCCGGCUUUUCAUUUGUUUGAAACCAGCCAAGACGAGUAUGGUGGUUACAAAGUAUUUGAAAAGUCGUGCUCUGGAAAGAGGAACUCA
rnacentral:pre_miRNA from 16 species